UGAUAUAAUAUGUUUUUUUAAAAAGAAAUGAGGAAAUAGAGAUAGAGCAUCAGAGAAGUAAAGAGAAGAAAGGACAAAGAGAUAUACAAAACGAAAUAAUGAAAAAGAUAAAUAAGAAAUGGAAAUUAUAAAUGUAGUCAAAUAAAGAGUGAAGGGAUUGAAAGAUCACAUCAGAGAGUUAUACUGAUUUUGCCUACUCUAGUCCCAAAGUGUUUUCUCUUGAGAUUUCCACUAAAGCCAAUUUUCAUCUUUUCACAAGAUCAUCCGAAGAACCUUUCGCAACAACUUGAGAUUUUGCAUAGGAUCAACCCUACAAACAUUGACAAAAAAUCUAACAUGCUUAACUCAAAACCUACCCCAAAUCUUUUAUACAGGAUAAGCUCAAAACGUAAAUCUAACCUUUUAACAGGUUAAAUAUGUAGCCUUCAAAUACCAUUACAAAUGAAUCACAACAUAUUAUGCUAUUGAAUAAAUAUUUCAAUACAACACUAGUACAACAACUCUCAAAAGAAACUUUUUAUUCUUUUGUCACUAAGGAAACUUUAGUGGAAAAAAAUUUUUAGAAAAGAAUGAGAGAAAUAAAUGAUAUAAGUGUUUCCAUUAAAAAAAUUGAGUGUAAUGAAAUGAGUACACAUCUCCUUUAAAUAGAAAUAAAAUUGGCUAAAAAAGGAACAACCUAUGACAUAUUUUAGUGAUUUAAUUGAUUAAAUCCAUGAAUUAAUUUAUUAACUAUGAUAAAAUAUGAAAUUAUGAAAAUCUAUGUCCUCUAAUCAAUUAUUAUUGCUAUAUUAGCUCUCUUAAUCUAUUAGAAGAUGUUACACUUUAAUUUAAUCGACUAAAAUAUCCUGUAAUCGAUUAUAAUAUGUAUUUAGACCUUCUUAAUUGAUUAAGCAAGUUUCCAAUUAAUUAAGUGCUUGCUCGAAUUAGUUUUCAAGAAAAUUAACAAAAUAUAAGAGGUUUUAAAAACAUUUGUGUGUGUGUUUGUGAUUUCCUUAGUAUCUUAAGACUUAGUCUUGUUUCUUUUUCAAUAAAAUGAUCAAGACUAGGAAAACCCUAAGUGCAAGACCGGACGAACUUUCACACUUUCACACCUUUAAUCCCUAAAACUCAAACCAAGAUCGGGAAAGUUUUCACACUUUCAUAACAAUGACUAGCACUUUAACGGGAACUUGAUAUCUUUGACUGAUGAGACUUGGAAUAUUUCUUAUUUGGUAUGCCCUCAUCAAGAACUAUUUCAAUAUCCGUCAUGAUCAAAACCUCUUUGACAGAUAUCAUCAACAUGCUUUAAAGUUGUAAUCAUCACUUGACAGUUGUCAUCAUCAAAAGGACUGCGUUGAAAUCAUCAAAACCACAAUAUUUUCUACAUAACACAUAGAAUCACAUUAUCCCCAUUUUUAUGAUGACAAUGCAUCUCUUAGAAAGGUGGUAAAAUAAAAAGAUAUAUAAUAUAUUUGGAGUAGUUAAACUCCCCUCGCAAAUAAAGAGAGUAUACUCUACUCCCCUUGAGAGUAUACUUGUCCCCCUUUGGCAUUGUCAAAAAGACAUAUAACAAAAAGUCAAAUAACACAUAGAGCAUGUACAACAUAUAAAAUUAUGAAUCAUAUAUAACAUAACUUCAUUCAUAUGUUAUAAAAGGAGAGAGUUGCAUAAAUAUACCAUAAAUCAUAACAAAUAAAAUGGGAAAAAAAGAUUAUAAAUAUCAACCUAGAAAAAUAAAACGAAAAGAAAGAAAAAGAUACGAGUUUUAUAAAUAUAGGUUAUGUAGAAACAUAUGGCCGACAAGGUAUGGUAUUUUAUAAAAAAACUAUUAGUAUUGAAUCCUAAAACUCUAGUCGUAUAUAUUGGAGUUCCCAAUUGUCAUAAUCAUUACGCUGGUUUAAAGUGGAAGAUAUAACAUCCCACAAUAUCCAAAAGUGAUAACACGAGAAGGAUUAAAAUAGGUUACAGGAAAUGGUCAAAGCAUUCUUCCACUAUACGCCUCGUACAUGUAUUGAUAUUCCUUUAUCGACCUCUAUCUUCCUAGUUUCCUUCUAGGUCAAAGCACUUUGCCCCUACACAACUCGCAUGGGGGACUAUGUACAGGUAUGCCUAUACCGACCUCUAUUUUCUUGGUUUUCGUCUAUGUAAAAGUAAAUCUACCUUACAUGCCCUCUACCUAGGGGACUAUAUACCAAUAUAUUCAUCUCAAAUCUUAAGAUCCACUAUGCGUCAACUGACCUCCUCACUCCCUGUACAUAGCAUGAAGAAUACUCAUAGUAAAUGGUCUAGAUCAAGCAAGAACCUAAGAUCUCUCCAUUUUGAAGAGACGAAGAGAUCACCACUCCCAUAGUCUACUUAAACUAAGGGUUGAAUACCAACUUAACAUCAAUGAAUCAUACUCCUUAAAUUAGCUUGUUCGAUCACGUGGAUGGCUUGAGAUAAAGGUGUGAUGCAUCCUCAGUACUAAUAACUCAUCAGCAACUCAUAAUUAACAUUCUUGAUAAGUUUGACAUACAAGGAUGAAACAAUAUUAAUUACCUUUAUGACCAUUAGGCUCAUACAAGGGGGAAAUAGUUAAUGGUUGUUAUGGCGAUUACACUCAAAUGGAGGGACAACUAUAUUAACUAGCAUAAAUAUAGUAAUGACCAUAACCGCCAAGGUGAAAGGGUGAAAGUUGAGCUAUAAAAGUCAAGAGGUGGUACAUAAAAAGAGAUUAAAUAAUUGGGAAUACUAAGAUUGAGACUUUGUUGGCUAUACAGUCAAUAAUGUUUCAAGCGAUGUAGAUUAUUCCAAUACACAUUCUAUAUAAUGUUUUAUAGGCUUAUCUAGCCUUAAAUUUUUUAUAUUUUAUGGAUGUUAGUAGUAUAUACAUACUUAUUUGAUAAAUUCUUGUAACUUGUAUUCUCUAAUAAUUCCUUUGUCUGAAGGUGUUUGAACAUACUUUCAUUCAUAAAUUUGAAACUUGCAUUGCAUGAAAAAUGUUUUCUUUCAAAAAAAUUGGCUCUUGGUGUACUUUAUUUGAGUCACCUUACUACUUGAUUUGAAUAACAUUGUUUGAACUAUGUAUUAGAAAAAUAAACUCAGGUUUAUUUGAUUCAAAUAAUUUUGAUGCAUGAUUCAAAUUAUACAUCAUGUUCACACACCUUAAAAAGUCUAUGGUAUACUUGAUUUGAACCAUCAUGGUGCAUGAAUCUAAUCAUAUUAGAAUUUCCACAUCAUGGAAAUUCCCUUGAACUUGAUGCACAAUUUGAAUUACACAUCUGAAUCACACACCUAAAAAAUUCUUUGCUAUACUUGAUUUGAAUCAACAUGGUGCAUGAUUCGAAUCAUUUAAAAUUUUCACAUUUAGAAAACUCCCUUAUGCAUGUGAUUUUAAUCACCUUCUAACAUGAUUUAAGAAAAUAGUUUAUAAUAAGAGUAGAAGGUUCAUGACUAAAUUUCAUAUAACUUAAACCUGCUACGUGGAAAAGUAGAUUUGCUAAGGAUUAGUUACAAUUCAUCUAUCAAAUUUAUUUCAAAUGAUCAUUUACUAUCAGGUAUUGCUGCACAACCACAUUUAUGCAUAAAACACUUGGGAAUUAGAGGAGGGAUGCACAUAUCUAUAGGGCAAUCAUAGUCAUCACCGCAAGGAAGUCCUGUGAUGUCAGAUUAGAAUAAAUCAUUAUUAUGAAUAAAUUAAAUAUUAUACAAUCGAUAAAAAAGAAAACUUGAAAAUUAUGAAAAUAACUUACUCUUGUCCGUUACUGCAAGAACUAGGGAAAAAAAGAUGAACAUCAUAUAAAUAAACUUGAAAAUUUCAACCAUUUCUUUCUUUCUUUCUUUGCAUGUAAAAUAUUUGAAACAUGUUUAAUCAUUUAUAAUAAAACACACAUUCUUUGGUAACUUGAAUUAAUUAGUGUUUAGAGAUUACGUGAUUGAAAAAAACAUUUAUAAAAUUGAAAUUAUUAUUAAAUGGCUUUUAGGUAUAUAAAGAUGGCAUGUUUGUCUCUUUAGUUCACAAAAUCGUUCACUUAAUAGUAAAGGUUUAUGUUAAAAUAUUAAGGAUCAUUCUUCAUAUUAUAAUUAACAAACUUUCAUUAUAUUCUUUAUUUCUCUUUUAACCUUUCAUAUUAGACAAAGUAAAAAAAUUUAAAAGAGAUGAAUUAUUAAUGAAUGAUGAAAAACAAUUACUUAUAA
rnacentral:lncRNA from 1 species